rnacentral:rRNA from 1 species
CGUAGGGUGCAAGCGUUAAUCGGAAUUACUGGGCGUAAAGCGUGCGCAGGCGGUUUUAUAAGUCUGAUGUGAAAUCCCCGGGCUCAACCUGGGAACUGCAUUGGAGACUGUAAGGCUAGAGUGUGUCAGAGGGGGGUAGAAUUCCACGUGUAGCAGUGAAAUGCGUAGAUAUGUGGAGGAAUACCGAUGGCGAAGGCAGCCCCCUGGGAUAACACUGACGCUCAUGCACGAAAGCGUGGGGAGCAAACAGGAUUAGAUACCCUGGUAGUCCACGCCCUAAACGAUGUCUACUAGUUGUCGGGUCUUAAUUGACUUGGUAACGCAGCUAACGCGUGAAGUAGACCGCCUGGGGAGUACGGUCGCAAGAUUAA